CCUACGGGUGGCAGCAGUGGGGAAUAUUGCACAAUGGGGGAAACCCUGAUGCAGCGACGCCGCGUGAGCGAUGAAGUAUUUCGGUAUGUAAAGCUCUAUCAGCAGGGAAGAAAAUGACGGUACCUGAGUAAGAAGCCCCGGCUAACUACGUGCCAGCAGCCGCGGUAAUACGUAGGGGGCAAGCGUUAUCCGGAUUUACUGGGUGUAAAGGGAGCGUAGACGGCAUGGCAAGCCUGGAGUGAAAGGCUGGGGCUCAACCCCAGGACUGCAUUUGAAACUGUCAUGCUGGAGUGUCGGAGAGGCAAGCGGAAUUCCUAGUGUAGCGGUGAAAUGCGUAGAUAUUAGGAGGAACACCAGUGGCGAAGGCGGCCUACUGGACGAUGACUGACGUUGAGGCUCGAAAGCGUGGGGAGCAAACAGGAUUAGAUACCCGGGUAGUC
rnacentral:rRNA from 1 species